CUUGUCAGUUGUCACAGUGGAGACACAAGACGUUUGCUCGGCUCAGAAUCUUUCAGCGUUUCAACGAUUAACCUACACCAUACGGCUGAGAAAAUUUGCGUUUGUGGCUUUGAAUAGUCUGUAAGAUCAAAUCACUCAUCAACGUUUAGUUUAUUUGACUUGACUAGGUGGACCGUUCCUAUUGAUUUUUUUUUUAAAUCUGUGUGGAAGCUAUUAGUCUUCACAGUAGACUUGUUAAGUCAAGCUUUUUUUUUUUUUUUUUGGUAAGUCAAGCUCUCAAUUUCUUCUUAUAUAUGUAAGAGGCAAUCGAAUGUUGUAGAGGCAAUUGAAUGUUGUAGAGUCACCAACCGUAAAGACCCGUUUUUCUUAACCAAAAUUAGUUUGUGUUUCUCAUUAAUUAAAUUGGUAAACCAAUCUGGUUUUGUUCAAUUAAGUAUAUAUCCAACAAGCAAAUUGGUUUCUUAGGUUUUAUUAAUUGUUGCCUUAUAUAAAUACACAAAAGUGUUUAUAUCUUCUUUAUCUAUUUCAAAACCCUCGCCGCUUAACCUCACGCCUCCACUACUUCUCCCUUUUUCUUCUUCACGAUCGUUUAACAUCACUUAGUGGUUUGUACGUCAUCUUGAUCAAAACUCACCACUCGGAGGAGCCUUGCCAUGCUGGAGUUGAUGAAGAUCACCGGAGACCAAGCCUUGUGAUUGGACGUUAUCUCUGCCUCGUGCCGGUGGUGGUACACUCGCCAUGGUGAUAGACGAGCAAACCGGAGCCGCCACGUUCCUCUCUGUUGACCAUCCGCACAUGCUGACGUGAACGCUUGGUCAUUGGAGAUGAGAUGUGUUGACGGAGAGCCGUAGAUGCAUCCUCGUGACGUUACAUACAUGGUUGGUGAUGUGAAGAACAUGACCAAAGACGUGAAGGGUUAAGUGUGGUUCUUCCUUGUUUUCUUGCGCAUCAAGUUAUGUGAAGCCGUAAAUCUAACUAAACUAAUUGCCUCUUUUCUUUUGUGUUAAUGUUUUAUGUGUCCGAAUGGUCCUCCGGAUGUGCCACUUUUUCAAACCAAUCUAAGGUGAAACCUUAGCUUUCUUGGUGAUCAAGUCAUGUCAUUGUUUUCCGAUCUAAUUCUGGUUCUCGAUAUUGGCUAAGGUGAUCAUGACGAGUAGUUGGAUAUGUGGACGGAUUGGUGUCUUGGGAUUAUUUUAUUUUGGUUUUAAUUAACUUUUCGAUUUAAUUUAUUUGGUUUUAAAUUAUAAACUGGUUUUAUUUGGAAAUUAUUUGAUUAAAAGGUUUGACAUUUUAUUCGGUUUUAUAAAUCGGUUUAAUUUGGUAUUUUUCGGUUAGUAGCACGCCGUUCUCGAGAGAGGAGGAGACGGGUGUUACAAUUUGGUAUCAGAGCUGGUUAGCCAUCUCAGUUCUGACCUGAGAGGCAUCUUGAGACCUGUCGUGGGCGCAACGAGGACGUUGCGUUCUUUGAGAGGGGGUGAAUUGUAACAUCCCGAGUUGUGAUAUGUGAAAAAGGCUUAAAGGAAUUGAUUUGGCUACCUAUGUCACCAAAGUUGACUUACCUUUAUGCACAUCCUGAAAGAACUCCAGAGUUAAGCGUGCUUGAGCUGGAGUAGUGGAAGGAUGGGUGACCUAUCGGAAAGUGAUUCGCGAUAGCGUGCGAGUGAGGCCAAAACAUGGGAAAAGGUCGGGUGGUGAUUUCAGGGUCAAUGAACAAUGAUUUCGAGCCUUUAGAAAAAUAAACGGACCAAUCGCAUGAACGGGAUGGCCCCACGGGCCGAGAGAGCGGGCGUGGGUGGCCCAUUAGCUGUGGGCGGUCGGAGCGUUACAAGUGGUAUCAGAGCGGGGUUCCGUCCCGGCUCUGACCCGGAUGGCGAUUUAUGGGACUUGGAUUUCAACGAUUUUUAAUAUUUCGGGGAUUGGGAACUUUUUCAAAAAAUAUAUAUAUAUGACACCUUCCUCUCCAGUAUCACUUGGUUAGGUUUUAGCGUUUCUGAGUUUGUUUUGUUUAGGAGGAGAAGACCAAGCUUCUUUUUGUUUCAUUUGUUCUUUAUCUCGUGUUCUUCUUCUCCUUUGUAUCCGUUGAAGUUCUUCUCGGGUUCUAAUUUAGAAUUCGGGACAAAUUCCGAUUAAGUGGGGAAGAAUUGUAACGACUCGUUUUUCUUAACCAGAAUUGGUUUGUGUUUCUCAUUAAUUAAAUUGGUAAACCAAUCUGGUUUUGUUCAAUUAAGUAUAUAUCCAACAAGCAAAUUGGUUUCUUAGGUUUUAUUAAUUGUUGCCUUAUAUAAAUACACAAAAGUGUUUAUAUCUUCUUCAUCUAUCUCAAAACCCUCGCCGCUUAACCUCACGCCUCCACUACUUCUCCCUUUUUCUUCUUCACGAUCGUGUAACAUCACUUAGUGGUUUGUACGUCAUCUUGAUCAAAACUCACCACUCGGAGGAGCCUUGCCAUGCUGGAGUUGAUGAAGAUCACCGGAGACCAAGCCUUGUGAUUGGACGUUAUCUCUGCCUCGUGCCGGUGGUGGUACACUCGCCAUGGUGAUAGACGAGCAAACCGGAGCCGCCACGUUCCUCUCUGUUGACCAUCCGCACAUGCCGACGUGAACUCUUGGUCAUUGGAGAUGAGAUGUGUUGACGGAGAGCCAUAGAUGCAGCCUCAUGACGUUACAUACAUGGUUGGUGAUGUGAAGAACAUGAUCAAAGAUGUGAAGGGUUAAGUGUGGUUCUUCCUUGUUUUCUUGCGCAUCAAGUUAUGUGAAGCCGUAAAUCUAACUAAACUAAUUGCCACUUUUCUUUUGUGUUAAUGUUUUAUGUGUCCGAAUGGUCCUCCGGAUGUGCCACUUUUUCAAACCAAUCCAAGGUGAAACCUUAGCUUUCUGGUGAUCAAGUCAUGUCAUUGUUUUCCGAUCUGAUUCUGGUUCUCUAUAUUGGCUAAGGUGAGGGCUAUUCUGUUAAAUCCCGAGCUAGUUUAGUACUACUAUUAUGGAAAGUCUAGUUUCGAAAAUUGAUCUGUCUCUGUGAAUUGAGUCUUUUUGAGAGUCUUGUUUGUUUAUUAUUAUUAUUGAUUGUUAAACCGGAAAUAGGAUAAUAGAGGAUUCAACUGUUGAAUGAAUUGAGUGAUGUUAAAACUGCUAUAUAUAUAUAUAUAUGUAUAUAAAUAUAUAAGUCCGUUUGUGUGGAUUGCGGGUGCACAAAGACGUUUGUGUAAGCCGCCGACGAGCAGUGUGAUUGCGGGUGCACAGAGACGUUUGUGUAAGCCGCCGACGAGCAGUGUGAUUGCGGGUGCACAAAGACGUUUGUGUAAGCCGCCAACGAGAAGUGAGAUUACGGGGGUACAAAGACGUUUGUAUCAGUCGCCGACGCGCAAAUUCUGGGAGUACAAAGAUGGACUACUGUAUGCCUGGAGAUAUACAUAUAUCCUUAUGAGGAAAUGCGGGGUGCAUAGAGUAGCAUGUACUAUCAGCGCACUGGAUGUUUUAUGUGGUGUAUUAGACACUGUGGUUGUUUCAUGCUAGAACUAGGCCUACAUGGUCAUAGUGCUAUGUACUGAGUCAGUGGUUUGCGGUUUAGCAUCUCAUACCUCACGGAGUAACUCUCCUGUUACUCACCCCUCUUUCUUCCCCUUGCAGGUGAACAUGACGAGUAGUUGGAUAUGUGGACGGAUUGGUGUUUUGGGAUCAUUGCAUUUUAUUUUGGUUUUAAUUAACUUUUCGAUUUAAUGUAUUUGGUUUUAAAUUAUAAACUGGUUUUAUUUGGAAAUUAUUUGAUUAAAAGGUUUGACAUUUUAUUCGGUUUUAUAAAUCGGUUUAAUUUGGUAUUUUUCGGUUAGUAGCACGCCGUUCUCGAGAGAGGAGGAAACGGGUGUUACACCGACAUUCAUUCGUUCACAUAUAAUAAAAAACAAAAAAAACAUGACGCAUUCUUAUAGUGAGAGGAAGAUGAUAGUACGGAGAUUGUGUUUAAUCUUUUAUCUUUCUUUCUCAAUAUUUGUUUUUGCUUCUCCUGGUAAGUACUUGUGUCGUCCAGACCAGAGGCAUGCUCUUUGGGAGUUCAAGAGAGAGUUCUAUGUCCAAAGGCUCAAUUUUCAUUGGUGGAAGUCUGAUCCAAAAACAGAAAAGUGGAGGAAGAACACUGAUUGCUGUUUUUGAGAUGGUGUGUCUUGUGAACUUAAGACGGGCAUGGUGAUUGAGUUAGACCUCAAGGAGAGCUUUCUCAAUGGCCCUUUGACAACUAACAGCAGUCUGUUUAGACUACAAUACCGAGUCUUAGUCUUGACUCGAAUAAUCUUUCUGGUACCCUACCAAAUUCCAUCAGCAACCACAAAUAUUUGAGGGUUUUGAGUCUUCCUGGCUGCAAUCUCUUCGGAAAGAUCCCCUCUUCAUUGAGGAAUCUUUCUUAUCUCACCAAACUUGAUCUUUUUGAAAACGGUUUCACCGGUGAACUUCCUGUUUUGAUCGGCAACCUAAGGCGACGAACGGACUUGCAAAUUGCAUUUAACAGCCUCAAUGGGAACUUUCCUCGUAUGCUACUCAACUUGAGCGAGCUCACCCGGAUCAUUUUUCGUUCAAACCAUUUCGAAGGUAUGCUUCCAUCUAAUCUAAGUAACCUCUCCAAACUGGUGUAUUUUGAUAUGAGCGGAAAUUCAUUUUCUGGACCUAUUCCGUCGUCCCUCUUCAUGAUGUCUUCGUUGACCCACCUUGCUCUAGUAAGAAAUGACUUUAGUGGUCCUCUUGAAAUAGGUAAUAUAUCCCUUAACCAUCUCAACUUAGAGAGUUAUCCCUUGGAGAAAACAAUUUCAGUGGGCCAAUAUCAAGGUCUAUAUUCAAACUAGUCGGCCUUAGGUCUCUUGAUCUCUCUUAUUGGAACACAGGCAAGGGUGUGGUCGAUUUUAGCAUCUUCUUGCAUCUCAAGUCACUUACCUCUCUUGACCUCUCCUAUCUGAAUACACAAAGUAUGGUUGACUUGAGUAUUUUUUUCACAUCUCAUCACACUCAGAAGUUUGGAUCUUUCAGGGAAUAAUCUAAAGAUUAAUUCAACCUUCCAUCUUCCCUCAUCCGUAGAAAUCUUGACAUUCUCAUCCUGUAAUAUUUAUGAGUUUCCCAAGUUUCUACACACCCAAACUAGAUUGGUAUAUUUAGACAUUUCUGCCGAUCAAAUUAAAGGUCAAGUACCAGAGUGGUUAUGGGGACUGCCAGUAUUGCGGUAUGUAAACAUUUCUCAAAAUUCCUUUAGCAGUUUUGAAGGACCACCUGAUGUUAUUCAAAGAAGUGAAAAAUAUAUGCUUGAUAUAAGCUCAAACACAUUUCAAGAUUUUCCUUUGUUACCAAACUCUACUAUUUUCUUUUUAGGCUCCAACAAUUUUUUUGGGGGAGAGAUUCCUAGAACAAUAUGUGAUAUGGUUUCACUUGAUACACUUGUUUUAUCCAACAACCACUUCAACAGUUCUAUUCCUCAGUGUUUUGAGAAUUUCAACGCCACUCUGUCCGUCUUGCAUCUUCAGAAUAAUAUCAUCUCUGGUACUUUUCCGGAGGAAACUAUUAGUGAUCACUUGAUAUCACUCGAUGUUGGUCACAGACUCACAAUCAGUUAUCAGGAGAACUUCCCAAGUCUCUGAUAAACUGUGCCCGCCUUGAGUUUCUGAACAUGGAAGACAAUAUGUUCAAUGACAUGUUUUCUUUUUGGUUGAGCUUGCUGCCUAAUCUACAGAUUCUUGUCCUUCGUUCUAACGAGUUCCAUGGCCCAAUAUCUUCUCGUAGAGAUUCUAUGAGUUUCCCCCAAGCUGCGUAUCUUUGACAUUUCACUGGAGUCUUGCCAUCAGAUUACUUUGUUUAUUGGAGUGCAAUGGCAUCUGUCGUAGACAUAGUCGAUCGUGCAUGGAGUCGGAUUGCAGGACGUGGUUCAGGGUACCAUCAUAAUUCAGUAGACCUAACGUACAAAGGAUUGAAGAUGGAUAAAUUGUGUCAUCACAAGGAUGAAAGAGGCCUCAGAUUUAAAGAUCAAGUGAAUUUUAAUAGAGCUAUGUUGGGGAAAAAUUAUGGCGUUUGAUUGAGAAACCAAAUACCUUUCUUUACAGUUUUCAAAUGAUGAUAUUUCAGGAAUGCAUCACCCAUGGAACCGAUUAAAUCAUACUCACCAUCUUAUGGAUGGCGCAGUAUUGUCUCAGCUAGAUUUGUGGUUAGCAAAUGACUAAUCAAAAGGAUGGAAUCAGGGUCAUCCAUCUCAGUAUGAAAUGAUCUUUGGCUCCCAACCACUCGCCCGAGACCAGAAAGUAGUAAUCAACACAAUAUCUACCAUGAUCUUACAGUGCAUUCUCUCAUCAACGCGACAUCAACAACAUGGAACUUUCAGGCAACCCGGGCUGUAGUGAAUCCGGAAGAUGUAAAGAUUAUAGAAAGUAUACCAUUGAGUUGGAACCUUUUGGUAGACCAAGAUGGAUGGCACUUCACUGAAAAGGGAAAAUAUACGGUUAAAUCUGGGUAUCAAGUGGAAUGGGUGUACCCUGAUACAGAAAAAACGGAUCCUGACGAGAUGUCACUAAUUUGAAAGCACAUUCCUGGAAAAUAUAAUGCCCACCGAAGAUGAAGCACUUCUUAUGGAAAAUAGUCACAGGAUGUCUAUCGGUUAAGAAAUAUUUGAGGGAAAGAGGGAUACAAUGUGAUACUCAGUGUGCAUGAUGUGGAGCAACACAGGAAUCAAUCCAACUACAUUUUGAAUCCAUUGCUUUGUGAAAAUAUGGAUCACUUGUAUUGGAGGGUGACCCCGAAAAUGGAAAAUCAUCAGUUCACAUGGAUUUUCUGGUACAUUUGGAAAGGAUAAAAUAACAUAGUUUUCAGUAAUAUAGACACUGACCCUAGAGAUACGUGACAAUUGGAAGAACCCAAAUCUAUUAUUUGGGAAGCGGCACAGACAUCACUAACACAAUGGUCAACCCAAUCAAGAGAGGGGGAGCUGAGGACUUUAUCUCACACCCUGGGACGGUGGUGUUUUACGGAUGGUUCAUGGAAAGAAAAGGAUAAAUACUCGGGACAAGAGUGGUACAUUACUUAAGAAUGUUUUAUUGGUUUGUUGGGGGCAAGAAAUAUGACCAUCCUCUCACCCCUUCAUUCGGAAAUAGAAGCUCUUAUCUUGGUAAUGGAAAAUGUGAGUAAUUUACGGCAGCUUCAUAUGACGUUCGCAACAGAUUUUUCUCAAGAAUGGUCUGCUUUUGCAACUUAAUUGAAAGAUAUCCAGAUCCUCAAGGGAAGUUUCAAUAGAUCAUAAGUCAUAUGUAUACCUCGAACGCAAAAUACGCAAAAUACAGGGGGCAUAGUCUCGCAUUAUGUUCUAAGAAACAACCGUUUUUUGUCUUUCACAUGAAAACGGAGUCACCAGUUUAGUGUGCAGAGUCCUAGCGGAAUCUGUUUAUGUUACUGGCUAAAAAUUAUGAAAAAACAAAUAUUCACUUAUAAAAUAAGGGUAAAAAAAAGUGCAGAUCAAUUUCUAGUUUUAUUUAUAAGAAAAUCAAACCAUGCAUUCUCACUUAUAAUAAUACGAACUUAAUCCUUCGUUUCAUUUUCAUUAUGUGGUAUUUAGGAUAUAAUAUACAAUCUUUACACUCUCAUUUUUUUGUGAUUGAAAUGAGAUUUUUUUUUGUUCUACAUAAUAAAUAAUGAACUAAUAUUUGAUUGAAACGCGUAAGGAUAUUUGACGAAACAUUGUAUCUAUGUCGGAAAUAGAAAAAUAAGGUAGUUAAAUAAUAGCAAUAGUCCACAAAAUAAGACUCAUAAUAAUAAUAAUAAUAAUAAUAAUAAUAAUAAAAUAUAGUAUGAUUUAUUCAUCAUCAAUAACUAAAACUGACUGUAGAAAGAGAAAGAAAAAAAAAACAGAAUUUUUUUGUCAACUUUGGGUUUCAUUAAAUCAUGCCUAAUAGGCCGAUGCAUUGGUAGCAUUACAAAAAGCCUAUAAUAUAAAUGAAAUAACGCCCAUAUCUUGAAGAUGUAACGAACUUGGUGUCCCUCCACAUAUUAGCUUCUAAGAGCACAAUUAUCGUGAGAUAUAUGAGGGGUUUUUAAGCGGUGGGUUCCACUUUUUAAUUAAAAACCGGUGAUAGAAGAGAUGAAAUAAAGAUCCACUUUUGUCUGUUUCUUGUACUGUUUGCGAGCCCCACUGACACGUGGCGGUCCAAGAUUAGUUCUUUUUUUAAUUUUUUUUUAAUCAGAGAAAAAAAAAAUUAAGAAACACAAAAAACAGUUUUAGGGAUAAUCAUGGCCGUCUGAAUACACGCGUCCUCCCACGUGUUUAUCAUGCCAAAAGUGGCUCCUAAGAUCGCCACAAAAUCUUCUACCACCAUGGACUUCCAGACUCGCCUCCUAUCACCAUCGUAUCUUUUCACGGGAUUUCGUCAACAGCAAUGAAGGAUGCAUUCCUCCUCAACCGCACAUAUCUGAUCAGAAAACCUCUUUUCACCGAAGUUAAUUAAAACAAAGGAAUCGAGGGUCAGACUAAAGCAUAAUCAUUUGUCGGACCGUUAUACAACACCAACUCAUCUUGAUUUACUCCAGAACUGGCUGAGAGUAUCCAUCAAACCCAAUCUAAUCUCAAAUCAGAGAUGUUUCCUUUACGCCAUAGCAGGCAAAUAAAUA